UGUGAUGUGUGCCACUCUAUUCCAAUAGGGUCACUUGUCUGUGAUGUCAUUAUGAUGUGUCCAUGGAAAUGGUUCUAAAACCUUAGCAGCAGGAAACUGAGGAGUACAGUUGGAUUGUUGUUUCCUCCAGGACAUUAACACACGCCUCACAUAGUAUGGGACUCAGAUGGACAGCAAAAGUCAGAGGUGCAGGCCAAUCAUCAUGCUUAGGCCUACACACCACAAAAUGUACUGGACAUUUACACACGCCUCACACUCAGAUGGACAGCAAAAGUCAGGGGUGCAGGCCAAUCAUCAUGCUGGUCACUUGUCUGUGAUGUCAUGGAGAUUUACACAUGCCUCACAUAGUAUGGGACUCAGGUGGACAGCAAAAGUCAGAGGUGCAGGCCAAUCAUCAUGCUGGUCCCUUGUCUGUGAUGACACUGAAGAGUACAGUUGGAUUGUUGUUUCCUCCUGGACAUUUACACACGCCUCACAUAGUAUGGGACCCAGGUGGACAGCAAAAGUCAGGGGUGCAGGCCAAUCAUCAUGCUGGUCACUUGUCUGUGAUGUCAUAAUAAUGUUUCCUUGGAGAUGGUUCUAAAACCUCACCUGAGUAUACAGACACUCAUUUAGCAGCAGGACACUGAAGAGUGCAGUUGGAUUAUUGUUUCUUCCUGGACAUUUACACAUGCCUCACAUAGUAUGGGACUCAGAUGGACAGCACAAGUCAGGGGUGCAGGCCAAUCAUCAUGCUCUAAGUACAUGAACAUCAACACAGCAUUAUCA